GGAGAGGAGAGGAGAGGAGAGGAGAGGAGAGGAGAGGAGAGGAGAGGAGAGGAGAGGAGAGGAGAGGAGAGGAGAGGAGAGGAGAGAAGAGAAGAGAAGAGAAGAGAAGAGAAGAGAAGAGAAGAGAAGAGAAGAGAAGAGAAGAGAAGAGAAGAGAAGAGAAGAGAAGAGAAGAGAAGAGAAGAGAAGAGAAGAGAAGAGAAGAGAAGAGAAGAGAAGAGAAGAGAAGAGAAGAGAAGAGAAGAGAGAAGAAACCACCAAAACAAGUCAAACCAAACCACUACAACCAACAGCAAAACACACACCAAAACCAACCACACAAAAAAUCUUGGCAGAUUUCUGACUUGAUACCUUCGACAUCCUGCCACAGGAGAGAACUGAAGCAGAGAUGUAAUGGGAAGACCUUUACAAGCAAACAACCUGGACCUUUCUUUACACUUUCAAACAGGUUGACACAGGUACAAACUGUAAGCAGAUUUAGAAACUACAGCGUUACUUUAUCAGAGAUCUUCUGCACUUCAGGUCUGAGAACAGGAUGUUAAGAAAGAAUACUCUCAGCUAUGCAACAGAGCAGAUCCCAUUCUGGGUUACUUGACCAGAAGAAGCAGCUGAAAUGGAAGACUGCAUUUUGCACUCAUUCUCUCAAGGUGUCAUUGUGAGCUUAAAGUGGUUUUAGCUGUGGAUAUUCCACAUGCCACAAUCAACACUUGAUGGUCACUAUCUUUGUAAUCCAUGUAAUUAAGACAAUGGGCAAAACAGAACUCAUUUAUUUAUAAUAUAGCGCUAUUAUUAGUGUCUGCUUCUAAGAAACCACAUGUGAGGCCCCGUGAUGUGAUUAAUCAGGCAUUCCAGCUGCUUUUGAGUGAUCCCAGCACUGACAACUGAAGCAGGAGGAAUUCUUCUCCAGUGUAGCACAGUUUAUGACAUCCUGUUAUGCAGUCUGAAAUGAACGCCCAUGUCUGAGUGAAAGAAAGCUAAACACUUUGUAUGAGAAUGUACAUAAUCACUAAGAAUUUGGCAAGGACAAAAGCCAAAUCCAGGGCCGUUGAUUUGACAGUCUCAUGUCUCAUCCAACAUCUUCUGUUCUGGUCUUGCUUCUUUCCUAAAUUAUGAAUAUGUUCUUGGCCUGGUAGAAGGUACACAGCACAGAUCUUCUGAGGCACGGAUGAAUUUGGGAAAAAGCAGACCUGCACUAGAUGCUUAGCUGCAGUGUCUGAUUUUACAGAGCAAAAAUAUACUUUCUUCUCUGUCUACUCAGCAGUUUUGAUCAUCAGAAGAUUUUGAAAGCCUUUUUAAUAAUAAAAAAGAAACACAGGUAUACUCAUUCCUGGAGCAAAAAACUACAGAAAAGGUUGUGAAGUAAACCAAGUCUUUCACCUACAGUUAUGUUAAGGCAAUCCGCUUAAAGGGGAAACAACAGAUGACACAGAUUACAUAUUAAGCAGGACCCAAUGAAAUAAAUACACACCACUGGCAUUGUGUCUCACAGGCUUAUGUAUACAUUUGUGCUACGCUGAAGUUGAUUUAUGGAGUAUAUAUGCACAUGUGGCUACAGAGCUGGCCAAAUCACUCAUUGCAGAUAAAUCUGGAAUUUAUUCAAUAGAUCUCAAAUCUACUUUUUUGUUAUUUCAGUGAAAUAAAUUGAUGAUUGAGUGACAUACAAUAAACAAUGUAUUUACAUGACUGAAAGAAACUGUUGAGCCUAUGAUUUAGCUCCCAUGCACACAGAAGCAACAGCAUCAUGCACUAUUGUUCUCUGGAAUUUGAAACUAUUCAUGAUUAACUGUUAAGAUUAUUGAACCACCUUUCCCUAUAUCCGGGUAUUAUGUCUAAAAUGCUAUGGGAUAAUUUUGCUGCAGGCAAAUUACGUUAAUGCAAUCUUGUUCCUGCCGUUCCAAACUCAAACUGGACAGCCCUCCACAAUUCAGUGCAUCCACAGCUUGCUCAAUAGCACCUCUCUGUGAUGUGAGGAAUGCCAAUUCCUGCUCUCUAGCAAUCCAGUUUCACGCCCAGGCUGAUUAAAUAAACUUAGGAGUCUCUGUAGAUGAUUGUACUCAAGAAAGUGCAUUAAAGCUAUAAGAUGCAGAAGAUAACAUGAAGGUGAGAACGCCUGUCUCUUAGAGUAAUGAUGUGAGAUCUUGUUGAAUGGAAAUCUCUCUGAAGAGCCCAGCAUUACCACCAGUCAAAAAAAAAAAAAAAAAAAAAAAAAAAAAAAAAAAGGCUCAAUUUUAUUACUUUUGUUCCCAGCACCUAUUUUCUUAGUAAUUAUAGGAGACUAAAACAAGUAGGAGAGCUCUCACCAUUACCAACUGAAAAAGA
rnacentral:lncRNA from 1 species